UACGUAGGGUGCAAGCGUUUAAUCGGAAUUACUGGGCGUAAAGCGUGCGCAGGCGGUUAUGCAAGACAGAUGUGAAAUCCCCGGGCUCAACCUGGGAACUGCAUUUGUGACUGCAUGGCUAGAGUGCGGCAGAGGGGGAUGGAAUUCCGCGUGUAGCAGUGAAAUGCGUAGAUAUGCGGAGGAACACCGAUGGCGAAGGCAAUCCCCUGGGCCUGCACUGACGCUCAUGCACGAAAGCGUGGGGAGCAAACAGG
rnacentral:rRNA from 1 species